UACGUAGGGGGCAAGCGUUGUCCGGAAUUAUUGGGCGUAAAGAGCGUGUAGGCGGCCAGAUAAGUCCGCUGUGAAAUCUCGAGGCUCAACUUCGAGCUGUCGGUGGAAACUAUCUGGCUAGAGUCCGGAAGAGGCGAGUGGAACUCCUGGUGUAGCGGUGGAAUGCGCAGAUAUCAGGAAGAACACCGACGGCGAAGGCAGCUCGCUGGGACGGUACUGACGCUGAGGCGCGAAAGCGUGGGGAGCGAACAGG
rnacentral:rRNA from 1 species